GUCACGAUAGCUCAAGUGGAAGAGCAUUGGCGUGUUGAGCCGAAGGUCGUGGGUUCGAAUCCCGCUCGUGGCA